rnacentral:rRNA from 1 species
GCAUAUCAAUAAGCGCGGAAAAGAAACCAACAGGGAUUGCCUCAGUAACGGCGAGUGAAGCGGCAAGAGCUCAAAUUUGAAAGCUGGCUCCUUCGGGGUCCGCAUUGUAAUUUGCAGAGGAUGUUUCGGGAGCAGCCCCCAUCUAAGUGUCCUGGAACGGACCGUCAUAGAGGGUGAGAAUCCCGUAUGGGAUGGGGUGUCUGCGCCCAUGUGAAACUCCUUCGACGAGUCGAGUUGUUUGGGAAUGCAGCUCUAAAUGGGUGGUAAAUUUCAUCUAAAGCUAAAUAUUGGCCGGAGACCGAUAGCGCACAAGUAGAGUGAUCGAAAGAUGAAAAGCACUUUGAAAAGAGAGUUAAAAAGCACGUGAAAUUGUUGAAAGGGAAGCGCUUGCGAUCAGACUCGCCUUGGGGGUUCAGCCGGCAUUCGUGCCGGUGUACUUCCCCCAGGGCGGGCCAGCGUCGGUUUGGGUGGCCGGUCAAAGGCCCUUGGAAUGUAACGCCUCUCGGGGCGUCUUAUAGCCAAGGGUGCCAUGCGGCCUACCUGGACCGAGGAACGCGCUUCGGCUCGGACGCUGGCAUAAUGGUCGUAAGCGACCCGUCUUGAAACACGGACCAAGGAGUCUAACAUCUACGCGAGUGUUCGGGUGUCAAACCCGUGCGCGCAGUGAAAGCGAACGGAGGUGGGAACCCUUUGGGUGCACCAUCGACCGAUCCUGAUGUCUUCGGAUGGAUUUGAGUAAGAGCGUAGCUGUUGGGACCCGAAAGAUGGUGAACUAUGCCUGAAUAGGGCGAAGCCAGAGGAAACUCUGGUGGAGGCUCGCAGCGGUUCUGACGUGCAAACUCGAUCGUCGAAUUUGGGUAUAGGGGCGAAAGACUAAUCGAACCAUCUAGUAGCUGGUUCCUGCCGA